CCCUUCCUCCGCCGGCUCCCAGGGCUGGUGCCCUUGCGGAGCCCAGCGGCUGGCUUCCUGAUCUUGCAGGAGGACCAGCAGUUCCUGGGCGGCUUUUUCUGGAGGGUAGAUUUGGAAGUGCCUUGAAGGCUCAGCCUGGAGAGUUUCUUCAUACAGGCUCUGUGUCCCCUAAUAAGUUUACACUGGCCGGAGUGGAUUCUGUUCGCUGCCACUCAGCGAUAAUGGGUACACAGGGAGAAGGAGAUGCGGAGGCGGGCAGAAACAGAAAGUGAUUCAGAGAGGUUGCCGGAUAAAAUCCAGGAUGCCCAGCUACCUUUGGAUUUUAGAUAAGCAACAGCUAAUAUUUAGUUCGGAGGGGUCUCUACAAGUGACCACCGUGUGCUGAGCAUCUCUUCUGUGUCAGGUACUGAUGGGGUGAUGCGCUCGUGGAAUCCUUCUGGAAUAUUCCAGAAGGAAGACCCCCGGGGCCACGACCCACCAAAGAGGGGUGCGAGUGGAGAAGGAGUGUCAGUGACUGGCCAUGGCCCAGUACAGGAAGUGCAUGCUCCAUCCCAGUGACGUCACGGGAAAUACCCUGGAGAUCCCACAGGAAGUACUUGCCCCCAUGAUAUCCCUGAAGUAGCCUUCAAGGAAGGCUCACUGAGACAUCAUAGGAAGUACCUGUCUCUUCUGUCAUCACAGGAAGUGACCUCUGGGGAGCUGCUUCCCGUGACAUCAUAAGGAGUGCCAGAAGCACCCAGAAAGUACUUGACUCAGUGACAUCCCAACAGAGACCUUCAUUCCCAUCACUCUAAGUAAAACCACCGAAGAUGCCACCGGAAGUUGUUCCAGCCCGUCGCAAGAGUCAUGCCCACAGGACUGGACCAAUCCCAGAGCCGGCCUCAUUCCCAGCAGGCACUGCACACCGCUCCCCCACCCCCUUCCCCCACCAUAACAACCUGACAACAGAACAGUGAACAGUCCCACCUAGAAGGGGCAAUUCCAAGAGGGGUAGAGCCGCUGAGAAGAUCUGGGAACUCUGGGGUCCCUGCUCCGAAUACCCCAUUUCAGCUCAGAUUCCUCGGCUACCUCUACUCCCAUCCCUUCCUUCAGAUCUGGAACCGAAAGCAGGAGAGGUGGGGUGUUGUUUUGGGGAGGCCCCUCAUUCUAGGUGGCCCAGAGGCUCCCUCCCCUCCUCCCAUAUGGAAACAAAAACUUCUAAAGGUGAGUGGGGGGGGGGCGGAAAUCCUUACCAAAAAACCAAA